rnacentral:lncRNA from 1 species
CGAGGCAAGCUACAGAAGCUUGAAUCCAGCAGCACCAUUCCUAUGCUACAGAGAAUGCUUAAGUAACUUAAUUCUUCUCACAAAACCUGAUGUUGUUGGCAGCUUCAAAACUGGCUGGGUGCCCUGACAUGAAUUGCAGAUUCUCUGCGCUCCUUUGGAGAGGAGUUUGAGGAGGAUGAAAGCAGAUGCAGGCAGACACAGAUGGAGCCCAGAAGCCAAAUAGCAUGAGGCUCUCCUCACUCCACCAGUGGGUUUGGCAGUUUCACACUGUUUUAAGGAAGAAAGAAAUGCCAGAAGCUACACCCAUGAAGUUUCACCUAAAUAUAUGCCCUAAAGAAGGAAGUCACUAAUAGACAUUCGGAUGAGGGCAGAGGAAAGUUCGAGAGGCUCAGAAUCAGCAGAGAAGGGACUAACAAGCCAGGGAUUGCUCAGCGGGCCUGUCUGAGCAUUGUGGUCCAUUAAGAAGUCAACAGACAGCCAAGACUACAUGAACAAAUUUAGUACAUUUUCUGUUGAGAUUAUCAGUAGUGCACCGAAAAACAAUGAAUAUCUCUGGAUCAAAACAAAUACACAAAAGGAAAAUACUGCGGUUGUUUUCUUGUUUCUCUUGUACCCAAAAUCAAAAGAAACUCAAACAUAAAUCCCAGGACGUGGAAAAAAAACUCUGUAGAGAAAAUAAGGUGUUGAGAGAUGAAAAUAGGGCUCUGAGAAAAGACAACAAAUUUCUCUGGGGCGAAAACAAAGCCUUAGGAAGAGAA